CGUGUAGGCGGCCGAUUAAGUCCGGAGUGAAAGUCCUGCUUUCAAGGUGGGAAUUGCUUUGGAAACUGGUUGGCUUGAGUGCGGAAGAGGUAAGUGGAAUUCCCAGUGUAGCGGUGAAAUGCGUAGAGAUUGGGAGGAACACCAGUGGCGAAGGCGACUUACUGGGCCGUAACUGACGCUGAGGCGCGAAAGCGCGGGGAGCGAACAG
rnacentral:rRNA from 1 species